rnacentral:rRNA from 1 species
GACGAACGCUGGCGGCGCGCUUAACACAUGCAAGUCGAGCGAGAACCAGGGCUUCGGCCCUGGGGACAGCGGCGAACGGGUGAGUAACACGUGGGUAAUCUGCCUCGGCACCGGAAUAGCCCGGGGAAACCCGGAUUAAUGCCGGAUGGCCCGCCCGCCUUUCGGGGUGGUCGGAAAAGGUAGCUUCGGCCUCUGGCCGAGGAUGAGCCCGCGGCGGAUUAGCUUGUUGGUGGGGUAACGGCCUACCAAGGCGACGAUCCGUAGCUGGUCUGAGAGGACGAUACGCCACACUGGGACUGAGACACGGCCCAGACUCCUACGGGAGGCAGCAGUGGGGAAUCUUGCGCAAUGGGCGAAAGCCUGACGCAGCGACGCCGCGUGAGGGAAGAAGGCCUUCGGGUUGUAAACCUCUUUCAGGAGGGACGAAGCCACUCGGGUGAACAGCCCAGAGGGUGACGGUACCUCCAGAAGAAGCCCCGGCUAACUACGUGCCAGCCGCCGCAGUAAAAC